UACGUAGGGUGCGAGCGUUAAUCGGAAUUACUGGGCGUAAAGCGUGCGCAGGCGGUUUUGUAAGCCAGAUGUGAAAUCCCCGGGCUUAACCUGGGAAUGGCAUUUGGGACUGCAAGGCUUGAGUGCGGCAGAGGAGACUGGAAUACUUGGUGUAGCAGUGAAAUGCGUAGAUAUCAAGUGGAACACCAGUGGCGAAGGCGAGUCUCUGGACAUUUCCUGACGCUGAGGCACGAAAGCCAGGGGAGCAAACGGG
rnacentral:rRNA from 1 species